UACGGAGGGAGCUAGCGUUGUUCGGAAUUACUGGGCGUAAAGCGCACGUAGGCGGCUUUGUAAGUUAGAGGUGAAAGCCCGGAGCUCAACUCCGGAAUUGCCUUUAAGACUGCAUCGCUUGAAUCCAGGAGAGGUGAGUGGAAUUCCGAGUGUAGAGGUGAAAUUCGUAGAUAUUGGGAAGAACACCGGUGGCGAAGGCGGCGAGCUGGCCUGUACCUGACGCUGAGGAGCGAAAGCAUGGGGAGCAAACAGG
rnacentral:rRNA from 1 species